rnacentral:rRNA from 1 species
AUUGAACGCUGGCGGCAGGCUUAACACAUGCAAGUCGAGCGAGCGGCGGACGGGUGAGUAAUGUCUGGGACACUGCCCGAUGGUGGGGGAUAACUACUGGAAACGGUAGCUAAUAUCGCAUACCAUCAGAUGUGCCCCGGUGGGAUUAGCUAGUAGGUGGGGUAAUGGCUCACCUAGGCGACGAUCCCUAGCUGGUCUGAGAGGAUGACCAGCCACACUGGAACUGAGACACGGUCCAGACGCCUACGGGAGGCAGCAGUGGGGAAUAUUGGACAAUGGGGGCAAGCCUGAUGCAGCCAGGCCGCGUGUGUGAAGAAGGCCUUCGGGUUGUAAAGCACUUUCAGCGGGGAGGCGGUACUCGCAGAAGAAGCACCGGCUAACUACGUGCCAGCAGCCGCGGUAAUUC